GACGAACGCUGGCGGCGUGCUUAACACAUGCAAGUCGAACGGAAAGGCCCUGCUUUUGUGGGGUGCUCGAGUGGCGAACGGGUGAGUAACACGUGAGUAACCUACCCUUGACUUUGGGAUAACUUCAGGAAACUGGGGCUAAUACCGGAUAGGAGCUCCUGCUGCAUGGUGGGGGUUGGAAAGUUUCGGCGGUUGGGGAUGGACUCGCGGCUUAUCAGCUUGUUGGUGGGGUAGUGGCUUACCAAGGCUUUGACGGGUAGCCGGCCUGAGAGGGUGACCGGCCACAUUGGGACUGAGAUACGGCCCAGACUCCUACGGGAGGCAGCGGUGGGGAAUAUUGCACAAUGGGCGGAAGCCUGAUGCAGCAACGCCGCGUGCGGGAUGACGGCCUUCGGGUUGUAAACCGCUUUCGCCUGUGACGAAGCGUGAGUGACGGUAAUGGGUAAAGAAGCACCGGCUAACUACGUG
rnacentral:rRNA from 1 species